rnacentral:piRNA from 1 species
UGAUAUGCUGUUGUUCUACGGUGAUCA